CCCUCCUUGGGACUGUCAUCCUUCCCCAGAGCCUGCUCUGUCCGGUAGUGGCUCAGGUCCCAAGACUGGCUUUACAGAAUGGACACGACAGCUCCUCACAAUACUCGGACCCUGGUUCAGAUGCCUAAUUUGCUCCACAGAAGUGGUCUCCAUCUCAAAUCUCGACCAGAAGUUGAUUUGGAAGCUGGCAAGCAUGCACUCUUGGCAAUUGAGAACAUCAGCAAUGAGAGAAGAGUCUGCAACCUUCCCCUCUGCCCAGGAAGAGGCUUGAAGUUUUCAUGAAUUGAGGAACGCAUAACAUCCUCUUCAACACAAGCAUUGAGUCCUACAUCUGCUGUGACUGCAAAAAAGAAGCAUAAUCCAUGACAUAUCCUUUUAAAGGAUACUCAGCAUAAUCAUUAGCAUAGCAUAGAGUGAAUGUGAUUUCUCUUUCUUUCUCUCUCCCUCUCUUAAUAGAGAUAUAUAGAUAUAAAGAUAGAUAUAGAUUUAGACAUUCAGAAAGUUUUUAUGCAAUGUGAAACUUGCCUUCCCCAAAACAGAAUCAUUGGCAGAAUCAUUGGCAAAGACUUGAGCAUUAAUGGCAAUUCUGAUUUGGAUCUAAAUUAGUCCCUUAACCUGCUAAACCUCGCCCUUUCUAGAAGGAAAAAAAAAGGAAGAACUACUCUCACCUGUACCCCAAACCGGAUUAAGGGAUAAAACCAAUAAUGUGAGAGUACUUGGAAACAUGCAGCACAUUUCGGAUCUUAGGGGUUGGAGGAUUCCAAUGUAAGAAUGUAAAUGUCUACAGCAUAUUUGCAUGAGUUUCAACUUAGUAGAACCUUUAAAGAGAAAUGUGUUCAUCUCCACCCAUAAUUCUUAAAAUUACUUUAAAUUCUGCAGCUUGGUAUUUAGUGCAUUAUACAUGAGGUAGGACUAGUUUCACAGCUGGACUUUAUAGCAUGGCAGUACUUAGAAUAUUUUUGUGGAUAAUGUAGUCCUCUUAAAGGUUUCUCUCCUUAAAUUCUGAAAAAAAAAAGAUGAUCAAAAUAUGAGUUUUUCGUUUCCUAAAGAAUCCUAAAAUUGGUUUAGGACAUACUUCAAGUAAUGCCAAAUGUCCUAGAUUCUCUUUUACAUUUACAAUGAGACCUUCACAGAUUAAAACUCCCGUUCACACUUAGGCUAAUGUGAGGAGUCCAGAAGUAAAAUCCUAAAGGAUGAUGUGAGAGGACAAUCUAGUUCCUCAUUCAGAAGAAGGUGCUAAAACAUUUGGAAAAGUUAGAAACAUUUCUGCAAGUAAACCCUGAUUCAGCCAAAUGACAGCUUGAGAUUUACAACUCAGUGACAGUGGGGAGGCCGGUUCCAGGAUGAUAACCCUGCCACAGUUCAUGAGAAAAAGGCUUUCACCACAUAAUCCGCUCAACGAUCUGUUUGCAGGUGAUACCAUUUCUGUUUUUCAAGUAAGAAAACCCAGGCUCAAACAGUUAUGAUUAUCAUCUUAUAUGUUAAUUUUAAUUUAUAUCCAUUCUUGUGCCAGAAAUAGCUAAAAGAAGCCAAAUAGAUAUAAAUAGCCAUGUCGCAAUCAUUUUACAAAUGAUCAUAUAAGCGCUUCUUACUAGUCAGCGUCUCUGCCUCUAGCUCCUUACUCCUCUAAGGUAGAGCGUCAGGCCAUUUCACGGCCAUCUGAAAUGACCAUAUUGUAAAUCAUUUUAGGUUUGCCAGCUAUACCAACCCUGUUGCAACCACUCAAUUCUGCUCUGGUAGCCCGAAACAGCAGACGAUGUGUAAGCAAAUGGACAUGACUGUGUUCCAAUAAAGCUUUAUUUACAAAAACAAACCCAGCAAGCCAGAUGUGGACUGUAGCUUAUGGACCCUUGAUCUAUGGCCUCUUGCAAAUUUCGUAAGUUCCUUCCAAAUUCCAUGUGAAGCUCGCUCCCACCAAACGUCUUCUGAGCAGCAUUAACUGAUAAUCAGCCCAAUAUGCCAAGGAACCCCACAUUCUUACAUGCUUUGCGAACAUGUCAUGUGAGUUUAUCUGUAUACUGUUUUAUUGUCUGCUUUGCAAAAUAUUUUAUAAUUUGUUCUCUCUCUUUUAAGGUUGUAUCUUUAAAGACAUGGGGAUUAUCUUCCCACUCCUACUGAGAUUUCUCAUAUAAUAUGUCCAUUAUGCUGAUGAGUAUUCAGUAAAUGUUGUUGAAUACUGAAAGGGAAUACAAGAAUUCAAAUUUAUCGAAAAUUAAAAAAAAAUAAGGAUAUAAAACUUGUGUGGGAAGGAAAAUAGAAUUUCUUCUUUAGAAAUCUGAAAAUAAUGGAGUGCAAAUGUGGUCAUUGACAUUUUCUUUAAAAAAUCCUAUAUUUGGGCAAAUACUAUUUUCUUUUGGAGGGGAUUGUUCUUUGUCCAAUGAUAAUAGUCACUGUGUCAUUGCGUCACGCCAUACCAUCAAUAGCACUCUCUAUGUAAAACCCUAAUGAGUAGACAACUGCUGGUCAAGUUGUUGUUCCAUUUUAGGUUGUCUCUCUUUUUGGAGACAUUUUUGACCUUCAUUAAAUGCCAAUAUAAUACACUCUGCUGAAUCCUAUAAAUAAAAAAUGUACUCGGGUCAGUUUAGCUGUAGUUCUUGGUUUCUGUCAAUUUGAUUCUAUUUCAAUUUCAAUAACUUUAUUGUCAUGACAAGGUAAACAUGAGCUCAAGACUUGCCAAAGUCAAUAAAUCAACACUUGGGUCUCGA